CUGGCUGUGUAUUAAAAACUACUCUAUCGAUUCUCAACAUUUCAAACACCACUGUACAAAACUGAACUGAUUUUACGCAAAAUCUGUACUUUAUUGACAAUUGAUGACACCUACGUGUAAAUAGCAGUAAAAUACAAUUUUUUCAAUUUACCGAUGUUAGAAAGAAUAGUUUGAAAAAUCAAAUUGUAAGUCUACUGUCAAAUUUGCCGAUCAGCCACUUCGUAUUCAUUGUGUGCAUUAGUGUGCAAUGUGUGUAUUGACUAUUCAUGUGUGCAAUUGUUGCCUCUUAGCACGAAGUACUGCUGGAGUGGGCCAGUCUCAAGGUAUUUUGUCAUUUGUUGUCCCUUAUGUUACCAGAAACAUAGAAACGUAAACAAAAAAUGAGAAUCACAAAAUUGUAAUUUUCCUUGUUCUUUGGUUUUGUCCCAGCUCCUAUAGGACUGUCAACUUGCCAGAGCAUUGGCCUAUUUGGAUGUACUAAAAAACUUUGAUGUGGAUGAUGUAAGGGAUAAAAUAAGUUAGACUUGUCCCUCCUCCCUUCAUUGAAAAAUACAAGUUUUCUUUUUUGUUGUUCAGAAUUUUUUGUAAGUUACGACUAUUAUUCUAUAUUCAAUCUUUGUGUUAUAUGCUUCCUCUUUGAAUUUAAGAUUUCAGUUAGUCUUGAAUAAUAUCUUAUUGUACAGUUAUAUUCAUGGUGCAUUUAGGAUGUAUCUGUAUCAUGAAAAAGUAAUCUAGGAAUGUUCAUUCAUUAAGCUUGCUGAAGUGUCCUUCCCAAGUACAUAAGUAAUUUAAAUCCGUUUGUCUUUUGUUAAAUUCAGUCAGUGUAUAGUGCAUUUUAGGGAACAAAGCCUGCAAGGUACUGCUAUUUACAACAUCAGGGUUGAGAAAAGAUAACAACAUGGAUCUAAGUGCUUUGGGAUGGCUCCAAAUCCACAAGCUUCACAUAUCAAAUCUACUAUCUUCACGUCUCGGGUGAAUUAACCCAUUAGCAACUAGAUAUUUUGUAAAAAUGACCUAUUCCUCACUGGAAGAUGUUGUAAUAUAAUCCUACUGUAGACAUCGUAAGGAUGACUCACGUAUAACAUUAUCAUGGUAGAUCCCAUAGGUUUUGGUGGUUCAGUGAGUAAUCGAGUCCUGGAAUAGCUAUAAUUACAAUGAUCAUUGCAAGGCAUUGAUUCACCCGAUCUUUGACUUGUGAAAGAUGAUUCUGGUUCAAGUUAUUACUAGGGACUUUUUGAUUUGCACGACGAGAAUGUGGACAGCAACGUGUGACCUCCUUUUAAGAAAGUCACACAUGACUACCAGUGCCUUAAAAUGAAGUCACACGUCCACGCAAAUCGAAAAGUCCCUAAUGUUACUGUCUUAAAUUGCACAAGAAUUAAGACAUUUUUACAAUUUCCAUGACCUUCACUUUAAAAUUCACUAGUUAAGUUUCUGCUAAGAAAUGACAAAUGUUCAGGACAUGAAAUAUUCACAAAUUUGUACAAGAUUUUAUUUGUCUAGCUCUUGCAGAAACAACAAAUAUAUUCAAGACAAUAUUCAAGUAUCUACAAUUGUUUAACAAAAGAGAAAAAAGAAAUGAAUACUUCAAAUUUCAAAAGCAGAACAUGUAGAAGGCACAUCUGUUCACAUUUGUUCUUAACUUGAAACAUACGGUACAGAUAGGAAACAUUUUCUUCAGGGGAUGUCAAACC